ACGUAAUAGAUACCCCGGUAGUCCACGCCCUAAACGAUGUCUACUAGUUGUUGGUGGAGUAAAAUCCAUGAGUAAACGCAGCUAAACGCGUGAAGUAGACCGCCUGGGGAGUACGGUCGCAAGAUUAAAACUCAAAGGAAUUGACGGGGGCCCGGCACAAGCGGUGGAUUAUGUGGAUUAAUUCGAUGCAACGCGAAAAACCUUACCUGGCCUUGACAUGCCACUAACGAAGCAGAGAUGCAUUAGGUGCCCGUAAGGGAAAGUGGACACAGGUGCUGCAUGGCUGUCGUCAGCUCGUGUCGUGAGAUGUUGGGUUAAGUCCCGCAACGAGCGCAACCCUUGCCAUUAAUUGCCAUCAUUUAGUUGGGCACUUUAAUGGGACUGCCGGUGACAAACCGGAGGAAGGUGGGGAUGACGUCAAGUCCUCAUGGCCCUUAUGGCCAGGGCUUCACACGUAAUACAAUGGUCGGUACAGAGAGUUGCCAACCCGCGAGGGGUAGCUAAUCUCAGAAAGCCGAUCGUAGUCCGGAUUGUUCU
rnacentral:rRNA from 1 species